rnacentral:rRNA from 1 species
AGGACGAACGCUGGCGGCGUGCUUAACACAUGCAAGUCGAACGGUGAAGCCUUUCGGGGUGGAUCAGUGGCGAACGGGUGAGCAACACGUGAGUAAUCUGCCCUUGACUCUGGGAUAACUUCGGGAAACCGUGGCUAAUACCGGAUAUGACGCAUGGUCGCAUGGUCUGUGUGUGGAAAGAUUUAUUGGUCAGGGAUGAGCUCGCGGCCUAUCAGCUUGUUGGUGGGGUAAUGGCCUACCAAGGCGACGACGGGUA